rnacentral:rRNA from 1 species
UACGUAGGUGGCAAGCGUUGUCCGGAAUUAUUGGGCGUAAAGCGCGCGCAGGUGGUCCUUUAAGUCUGAUGUGAAAGCCCACGGCUCAACCGUGGAGGGUCAUUGGAAACUGGGGGACUUGAGUGCAGAAGAGGAUAGUGGAAUUCCAAGUGUAGCGGUGAAAUGCGUAGAGAUUUGGAGGAACACCAGUGGCGAAGGCGACUAUCUGGUCUGGUAACUGACGCUGAGGUGCGAAAGCGUGGGGAGCAAACAGGG